rnacentral:pre_miRNA from 7 species
CAGUGCCCUCCUCGGUAAGUGGGAAGAUGGUAAGCUGCAGAACAUGUGUGUUUCUCAUGUCAUAUGUCUGCUGACCAUCACCUUUGGGUCUCUGCCUGUGGAGC